GAGUCAGAAUUGGGGGACAGUUGAAUUAUCCCAACAAUUGUCCCUCACUCUCAAGUUCAAGGUGGCCUGAUGUGCAUAUUGUCACGUGGCCUAUCACAUUGGGCAAAGAAAGUUGUCACGUCACGUACUGCUUCAAGCCCCGAUUUGGCUGCUAGCAUUAAUGAUUUUUGAAAUAUGAGAGGUUUCCAGCUAUUUUGUUGUUUCAAUAUCUACGAGAUCAUCAUUGGAAGUCAUUUCGAGAAAAUAAUUCAGUGUCCGAAGAAUUCGAACGAUUUGAGUAGAUCUUGGCCACUUGUCCAAAUAUCAUUAGC
rnacentral:lncRNA from 1 species